CCCCGCCACACAGGCCACCCUCCCGGUCCCGCCCCUCCUUGGUGCCAGGAAAGGCCCGGGGCUGCCCGGCUGGGGGGUGGGGGCCGCCUGGGCAGGGGGUGGGCCACGCGGGUCCAGCGAGGCUGUCCUGUCCCUCGGGGGCCCACCUGGCUCACAGGAGCCCCGGACACGCGUGGCGGACCGCAGAGAGGCUGUGUCCCACGAGGUCGCCCAGGUGGAGCUCAAGCGCAGAAAAGCCAACGAAGUUCACGCAGCGGAGACUUAUCUGGAUAUUCACAACCAGACGCUGUGGAGGAGGGACUGAGACGCUACAGAUCAAUCACAAUCGGCUACAGAUCAAUCACAAACCAGACGCUGUGGAGGAGGGAUUAGAAACGCUACAGAUCAAUCGCAAUCGGCGGUGCCGCCUCCCUCCGUGGGGAGAGCAGUGAGUGGCGGGAGCGGUGGUGGGAGCAUCACAGUUUACUCCACGCGGUUCCCCGGUGCGCACGGCCCUGCACGGCCACGGGGGGAGGGGCGACCACCGGCUCAGGAAAACACACUCCCCCAAACCAACAGCAGCUCCCAGACGCCCUGCGAAGAGGUUCUGGUCUUCAACUCAGGAGGGAAGAACAGCAUUUCAUGACGGCGUCCCUGGGGGAGAAACGGCGUCAGAAUCUGCCUCCAGCAGGGACCGCUCCCACCCGCUUCCUCCGCUGCUCACUAGGCUAACUUGGCUGUUUUUCAACUACAACCUGCUUCCAAGUUUGCCAGGAGGCAAAGCUGUGCCUCCACAGCGCUUUCCUGACCGUCCGACGGCUCCGCAGUGCGUUCCCCCCACGACAGCAGGUGCACUUUCUGGGCACGUCCAGGGGCGGCUACCUCCGCCCACAGGACAGACACAUGCUACUGCUCAGGCAGCAGUCACGUGUCACACUCACUUUUUCACCAACUUCCCUUUAAAGAGAAGAAUCUGUUUUGCUGGAGUCCCCACGGCCUAUCUAGUGAAUAUCCGCAGUCGUGGAAGGAUCCAGAAGCUCUCGUCCAAGUUCCUGGCAGCAAAGGCCCAGGCGCCCGACGGAGCAGGAGUCGGUCCCCAGCCUCCCCGCUGACACGUUCACAGUGGCGCCCCCUCGACAAACUUCUCUCUAUUCAUCCCACUUAGAACAUCGUUUCCUUGUGGGAGGAAAGUCAGCCUUUUAAGUCACAAUUUAAUGUAAAAAUCACUAAAACUGAUGUAUUUCUGCAACGCUAACCGGAGGACCAGACAGGGGAGGGACUCAAACAAGCUCACCUUGCAUACGGGAUGUAUGACAGGCUGUACCUGCAAGAGAAAGGGCAGCUGGUGACCUCAGUCUCAGCGAUGCCAUAUCCCCGCACCGGGCAGUACAGCGGCACCCAGGGCACGAUCCCCCGCCGCCCCCCCCGUCACCCGGACCAGCAGCCACAGCACCACCCGGACCAGCAGCCACAGCACCACCCGGACCUGGUGAACGUGCGCAGGGCUGGGCCACCGCACAAACUCGCUAAGCGACUCAGGCCUGCUGGUCUGAGCUGUUGUGAUACGAUGUUACCCUUUAAAGUUAUAUUUUAAAUAGAAACGACUGAGAAUAAAGCACAUUCUCCCUUAGAAAUAAACCAAUCGUUAAAUACAGCUGAUGAAACAAGAGCAGAACACAGAAAAUGACGGCGGAUUCGGUGUAAAAGUUCUCCCCAUUUCACUGAGAGCAAAAGCUCUUCACGGCCCUUUGCCACGUAGGGCCGUGCGUGUAACGUUCGCUGACGGUGCACUUAAGGGUGGAAAGGAAGAAACGGGGCCAAAGAAAGAUGACCCCAGGCCGGGUAACAGCAAACAGGAGACGGAACACAGCACACAGGGAGGGGCUUGCUGACCACGGAAGGAAAAAACAGAGCUCCGCUAAAGACAGCGGGUGGAACCCUCCUGGUGGGGGGAGAGCACUUCAGCCCUCACUCCAGGGCCUUUGGCCGCUGCUGGACGGGAUGCAGCCCAGACCACGAAGGCGCAGGGGGCCACGGAGGAUGGGGAGGAAGGGCGUGCCUGGCACACAGAGGAGCAGGACCACAGCUGCUCCCACUGCGGUCCCCACGGAGUCGGCAUCAGCAGGAGCCAGCAGCACGGCGCCUGCCCAGCAAGAGGCAGACCCACACGCUCGGGCUCAGGCCUGACACGGCCUCGCUUCGUGGGUUCCUGCGGCGUCACCUGCAUGUCUUGUCACUUCUCCUUCACAUCUCAGAAGACAAGUGCCGGCACCCUGGUGUGGCUAUGCAGGACCCUCCGCCCCCGCCCCCACCCACGCCUCCCUGCCCGCCUGCAGUCACCACGGAGCCGGGCGAAGUCCCAGGGGACACCCUGCAGACUCAGUCAGAGGACCGCUCUGGAGGCCUGGCCCCACCGAGGCACACGCUUCCACCCCGGGUGAGAGCCCACAGCCUCCCCGGGCGGCCAGGCUCAGAGCAGAUGCUCUCCCGGCUGAGGGCGCGCGGACCUCCGAUCAGGUGAGACUUACCAGGUCAUGGACAGGAACUGCAAUAUGCAGAAGAGCACGGCCAGCCCCUUCUUAUGCCACUAGCACAGGAAAAACAGAAAGAGUGAGUGAAGAAUCUUUUCAACAUACUCUUUACGCCAGCGGUUCUCAACCUGUGGGUUGUGACCCCUGUGGCGGUCAAACAACCCUUUCACAGGGGUCGCCUAAGACCAUCCUGCAGAUCAGAUAUUUACAUGACGAUUCACAACAGUAGCCACAUGACAGUGAUGAAGUAGCCACGAAAUAAUGUUAUGGCUGGGUCACAGCGUGAGGAGCUGCAUUAAAGGGCCGGAGGCUGAGAACCGCUGCUUUACGCCCUUUAACGCCCUUCAGAAAUGUAAGAUGACGGCUCUACCCUAUCAGAUUUCAGUACGACAAGGUCACGAUGCAGCAGAUGUGAAACUUAACUACCUGUAUCCACCGAUUUCAACACUCUACACGCCUGGCAUUGAGCCAACGCGCCGCACAGCACACACGGGCUGCACGCACGCCUCUGCACGGUUAGGUCCUGGGGGCACGUGAACGUUUCCCCUCGGUCAGUAGAGCUGCAUCCUCUGUAGAACUUACAGAUCUCACUCAGUCUCACGUGCCCUUUUCUUGAAUUACUUUUUGAAGGAAAACUGCAUUUUAUUGUGAUCUUCUGGAACAAUGCAUAAUAAACAGUUUCCAUGAUUUUUUAAAUGA